rnacentral:rRNA from 1 species
UUGGGAAUCUUGGGCAAUGGGCGCAAGCCUGACCCAGCGACGCCGCGUGGGGGAUGAAGGCCUUCGGGUUGUAAACCCCUGUCAGGAGGGACGAAGCCCACUCCUCGGGAGUGGGUGACGGUACCUCCAGAGGAAGCCCCGGCUAACUACGUGCCAGCAGCCGCGGUAAGACGUAGGGGGCGAGCGUUGCCCGGAUUUACUGGGCGUAAAGCGGGUGCAGGCGGCCGGGUAAGUCCCGUGUGAAAGCCCACGGCUCAACCGUGGGACGUCGCGGGAAACUGCCCGGCUUGAGGGCAGCAGAGGGUGGUGGAAUUCCCGGUGUAGCGGUGAAAUGCGUAGAGAUCGGGAGGAACGCCAGUGGCGAAGGCGGCCACCUGGGCUGUCCCUGACGCUCAGACCCGAAAGCUGGGGGAGCGAACGGG